rnacentral:rRNA from 1 species
GUGGCCUCAGUACGGCGAGUGAGCGGCAACAGCUCAAAUUUGAAAUCUGGCCGCAAGGUCCGAGUUGUAAUUUGCAGAGGAUGCUUUUGGCGAGGUGCCUUCCGAGUUCCCUGGAACGGGACGCCAUAGAGGGUGAGAGCCCCGUACGGUUGGACCACCGAGCCUCUGUAAAGCUCCUUCGACGAGUCGAGUAGUUUGGGAAUGCUGCUCUAAAUGGGAGGUGUACGUCUUCUAAAGCUAAAUACCGGCCAGAGACCGAUAGCGCACAAGUAGAGUGAUCGAAAGAUGAAAAGCACUUUGAAAAGAGGGUUAAAAAGUACGUGAAAUUGUUGAAAGGGAAGCGUUUAUGACCAGACUUGGGCUUGGUUGAACAUCCGGCGUUCUCGCCGGUGCACUCUGCCAGUCCAGGCCAGCAUCAGUUUGUCCCGGGGGAUAAAGGCGGUGGGAAUGUGGCUCCCCCGGGAGUGUUAUAGCCCGCCGUGCAAUGCCCUGGGACGGACUGAGGAACGCGCUUCGGCACGGAUGCUGGCGUAAUGGUCAUCAACGACCCGUCUUGAAACCACGGACCA